GACAGAGGGUGCAAACGUUAUCCGGAGUUACUGGGCGUAAAGGGCGUGUAGGUGGUUUCGUAAGUCUGGCGUGAAAUUUUUCGGCUUAACCGGGAAAGGUCGUCGGAUACUGCGGAGCUAGAGGACGGUAGAGGCGUGUGGAAUUCCGGGUGUAGUGGUGAAAUGCGUAGAGAUCCGGAGGAACACCAGUGGCGAAGGCGACACGCUGGGCCGUACCUGACACUGAUGCGCGACAGCAUGGGGAGCAAACAGG
rnacentral:rRNA from 1 species